AAAUUUAAUAAUCAAGAUGAUUAAUAUUUUUUUAAGUUAAAAAUUUAUUAGAUAACUAUGGUUUAUUUUAGUUAAAAUUAAGGCAUAUAUAGAUAAAAUUAUAAGUUUUGAAAAUUUAUAUUCUAGCAUUAAGAGUUUCUUUGGUAUUGUAGACGCUCUAACGGAAUUAUUGAUUAGCUAAAAAAAUAUUGUGACAAAAAUGUAUAGAUACCGGCUUUUCUAUUAUAGCUAGGUGGGGAAUUAGUUCAGACUAUCACUUAGAAAAACAAACAGAAUAUUAUUCAAUUGUACAAUUUUAUUGCACUUUAUAGCAGGUUCAAAAGGAGCCUAAUUAAGUACAAGCCUAAAAAUAAAUAUCAUACAUAAAAGAAAUAUAUGAUGUUUCAUAUAUAAAAGUUUUGCGUGAUGU
rnacentral:lncRNA from 1 species